GAUGAACGCUGGCGGCGUGCCUAAUACAUGCAAGUCGAGCGAACAGACGAGGAGCUUGCUCCUCUGACGUUAGCGGCGGACGGGUGAGUAACACGUGGAUAACCUACCUAUAAGACUGGGAUAACUUCGGGAAACCGGAGCUAAUACCGGAUAAUAUAUUGAACCGCAUGGUUCAAUAGUGAAAGACGGUUUUGCUGUUACUUAUAGAUGGAUCCGCGCCGCAUUAGCUAGUUGGUAAGGUAACGGCUUACCAGGGCAACGAUGCGUAGCCGACCUGAGAGGGUGAUCGGCCACACUGGAACUGAGACACGGUCCAGACUCCUACGGGAGGCAGCAGUAGGGAAUCUUCCGCAAUGGGCGAAAGCCUGACGGAGCAACGCCGCGUGAGUGAUGAAGGUCUUCGGAUCGUAAAACUCUGUUAUUAGGGAAGAACAAAUGUGUAAGUAACUAUGCACGUCUUGACGGUACCUAAUCAGAAAGCCACGGCUAACUACGUG
rnacentral:rRNA from 1 species